rnacentral:misc_RNA from 1 species
AAAUGCAUACUAUAAUAAACACGGAUUGCAGAAACAAGCCAUUAAAACAAAAGAGGAGCUUGUAACCCAUUUAGAUUCACGCACAAACUCCUUAACUAGUACCGGUUUGCAUAGAAAAGGAGUGAACCUGCGAAUAUGCAUUUCAAUAAAAAGAAAGCUAGCCAUCUCCAACUCAACUGUGAGAAUAGGAGAAGAUUGGCCAACCAACAGCCUUUCAAACGAAGAACAUUAUGUUUUCCAGUUCAGCAUGUAAUUUGUAGAACCUAUCAUCCAACGAAGCAGCUGAUGAAAGUGAUGAUGUAGCUGCUGAAGAGGUUGAAGAUGAUGCUGAAGCUGGAGAUUGCC